UUACCACCAUCAAGUUCCUGGCAACAGUGCCUAUCCUGGGCCUGGGAGAAGAUAGCCAGCACGGAAGCAGUUUUGAGAAGCGAGGGGGAAGAAACAUGUCUGGAGAAGCCGUGUCUGGAGGAGCCUGGGUGUGGGUUGAAAGCAUGGAUCUGUUAGGCUGGGAAUGCACAGCUCUGCUCUCCAGAAUCUGGGCUUGGAAAGGAGGAAGGAUAACCGUGGGUGUUGAAUGAAUGGAAUUUGCUGCUGCACCUACAGCUCCAAUAAGUUUCCGGGCAACUGGCCUUCAAUUUCUCAGUCUGCACACCCCAUCAGGAAGGGAUGCUGUUUCCUUGCUGAGUGUGGAGUUUCAGUCCUUGUCACUGGGACACACCACCACAGGCAGCCAAAAAGCAUAUGACGCAUGCUUGUCAAAUGAAUAACAGGAGAAGAAGCAAAGCCUAAAGCAAGAAGACCUCGGCACCGUGAAGAAAUGGAGCAGCCCAAGCUCUUUAGAAAGCGUUUCCCAAUGUUCCAUCACACAUCAUCUCUGGUGUGCAAGUGAUUUGUG
rnacentral:lncRNA from 1 species